AGUGAACGCUGGCGGUAGGCCUAACACAUGCAAGUCGAACGGCAGCACAGUAAGAGCUUGCUCUUACGGGUGGCGAGUGGCGGACGGGUGAAGAAUACAUCGGAAUCUACUUUUUCGUGGGGGAUAACGUAGGGAAACUUACGCUAAUACCGCAUACGACCUACGGGUGAAAGCAGGGGAUCUUCGGACCUUGCGCGACUGAAUGAGCCGAUGUCGGAUUAGCUAGUUGGCGGGGUAAAGGCCCACCAAGGCGACGAUCCGUAGCUGGUCUGAGAGGAUGAUCAGCCACACUGGAACUGAGACACGGUCCAGACUCCUACGGGAGGCAGCAGUGGGGAAUAUUGGACAAUGGGCGCAAGCCUGAUCCAGCCAUACCGCGUGGGUGAAGAAGGCCUUCGGGUUGUAAAGCCCUUUUGUUGGGAAAGAAAAGCAGCAGGUUAAUACCCCGCUGUUCUGACGGUACCCAAAGAAUAAGCACCGGCUAACUUCGUG
rnacentral:rRNA from 1 species